rnacentral:rRNA from 1 species
UACGUAGGGUGCGAGCGUUGUCCGGAAUUAUUGGGCGUAAAGAGCUCGUAGGCGGCUUGUCGCGUCGGAUGUGAAAGCCCGGGGCUUAACUCCGGGUCUGCAUUCGAUACGGGCAGGCUAGAGUUCGGUAGGGGAGAUCGGAAUUCCUGGUGUAGCGGUGAAAUGCGCAGAUAUCAGGAGGAACACCGGUGGCGAAGGCGGAUCUCUGGGCCGAUACUGACGCUGAGGAGCGAAAGCGUGGGGGGCGAACAGG